rnacentral:rRNA from 1 species
GACGAACGCUGGCGGCGUGGAUUAGGCAUGCAAGUCGAACGGUAUCAUCCUUUCGGGGGUGAGAGAGUGGCGAACUGGUGAGUAACACGUAGGUUAUCUACCCUCAAGACGGGGACAACCCAGGGAAACUUGGGCUAAUACCGGAUGUGAGCAACUUUUAGUUGUUUGAAAGGUGGCGUAAGCUGUCGCUUGGGGAUGAGCCUGCGUCCUAUUAGUUAGUUGGUGAGGUAACGGCUCACCUAGGCAAUGAUAGGUAGCGGCCUUAACGGGUGGUCGCCCACACUGGGAUUGAGAUACGGCCCAGACUCCUACGGGAGCAGCAGUCGAGAAUAGUCUACAAUGGUCGGAAGACUGAUAGUGCGACGCCGCGUGAACGAUGAAUCCCUUCGGGGUGUAAAGUUCUUUUAUAUGUGAGCAGUGCUUCUUAUAUUAACAGUAUGGGGAGAGAGAUAUUAGCAUAUAGAAUAAGCAACGGCUUAACCCCGUGCCAGCAGCCGACGGU